rnacentral:rRNA from 1 species
AUUGAACGCUGGCGGCAUGCCUAACACAUGCAAGUCGAACGGUAACAGGCCCUUCGGGGUGCUGACGAGUGGCGGAUGGGUGAGUAAUACUUAGGAAUCUACCCUGUAGUGGGGGACGAACCCGGGGAAACGUCGGGCUAAUACCGCAUACGCUCUACGGAGGGAAGCGGGGACCGCAAGGCCUCGCGCUAUUGGAUGAGCCUAAGCCCGAUUAGCUAGUUGGUGGGGUAAUAGCCACCAAGGCAAUGAUCGGUAGCUGGUCUGAGAGGACGACCAGCCACACUGGGACUGAGACACGGCCCAGACUCCUACGGGAGGCAGCAGUGGGGAAUAUUGGACAAUGGGCGAAAGCCUGAUCCAGCGAU